UAGUCAGAACAGUAGGAAAGAGCAUUCCACUUGGCAUUAAGUUUAUCGCUUUCCCAUUUACUAUAUCUGGAAACAGAUGAAUUCUCUGCUUCCCACGUGUUUAACACAGAAAACUGUCAUCUUGGAGAACAUGACAGUCAGUUUUUCUAGUUGCAGUCCCUUACCUGGAACAGCAGAGUAUUAAAAGUACUCCCAGGGAGAUAAAGAUGUCAUAUUUUAUUCAUUUGAGCUAACUUUUCCCACUGACUUUGUGACUGUCUUCAGGAACUACCUGAUUUAGAAGACAUAGAUGUAAAGGAAUUUCCUCCAGAAGAGGAAAUAUUUAUUCAAAAGCAAGAAUAUCAGCCAAAGAUUGAAAUAAUUUCUGAAACGACAAAUGAUGGUGAUUCUGCAUUAGAGGAAAGCAAUAAAAACACAUUUGAGGACUCAGUAGGAGAAGCUGCAACAUCUAUUUUUUCAAAUGUGCGUAAGAUCCAUAAAGAGCAAGAAAAGGAGUGCUUUAGACCCCUUGUUAAAGAAUUCCUUACAGAGUCUUCUUAUUCAGAAAAAGACAAACCAGCUAAGCCUAGUAAAGUCUUGGUACAGGAGCUUAUCACCCAACCUACUGAUAACCUACUGUUGUCAUCAGUCUGCAGUCAGCCAGAUGACCCCAGCCAAUGGGAAGGGGACAGGAAGAUCACCAUCGCUUGCUCUGGGAACAGUAGUGAUGGAGGAGUACAGUUGUUGACUGAAGGUGAAGAGUGUUCUCAUGAACCCCAUGACAACAUAGGCAGUGAGAGGGGAUUAGAUUGAUGGCUUCCAAUACAACUGAUCAUAUCUGGAGCAUCAUGCCUGGCUGACUGCGUACAGUUGUUCUCAAGAUGCAAAGUUCAGCAAUGGAACUGCUUGCUAAAACAGACUUUACACUUAUUAUGAAAACCCAUUGCCUUAAACAUGAGCAUUUCAGUCAUUCAGAACUGAUGUUGCUCCAACACAUAAACUUCAGGGCUGGUAAGGAGUGCCUCAUGUUCCCCCUUCCAAAGGUGCUCGUCUCUUUGGGGCAGCUUUCCAGCUGCACUACCAGUAAAAGUGAGGCUGGCACUUGUGUUUUAAGGUUAAAUUCCACUCUGUCAUGUCUUUUCCUUUCCAUUGCAUCCUUUUGGAAAUGUUUCUUCUGUAAUUUAUGGUUUGUUACUUAGUUUCAAUCCAUAUUGUAACACAUUUCUGUCAUUUGAACUAAAUAAAUAUUCUACUUGUAACCUA